AGUCAAGUUCCUGUUGCCAUUUCUCCCACAGAUCCAACAGCCCUUUCUGGAGAGAAGAUCCUGAGGGUCCUUACUACAUCCCAACGUCUCCAACGUGGUUGGGCAGAUGACAACCUCCAUUGCUGACCCUGACAACAGAUCAUCUUAAGAAAAGCAGGUCAACACGUUCAGGAAAAAGAAUACAUGGAGCUAAGCACACAGCUUUAGCCUUCCAUUGUCUGGAUUCUCCUGCCUGACUCCUGGUUUUCACCUUCCCAAAUUUCACAGUAUGAAGCAUAACCAGAUCCAGGCUACUUGAAUUCUUCCUAGAAGUGAUUCCAGAACCUAAAAGACAGGCCAGGUAGACGAGGCCGAAGACUUCAAGUCAAGUAGUAGGAGUCACGAGGUGAACCCAAGUGAAACCAAACUCUGUCCCUGCUGUGAAACAGAACAGGGGGUGCCGCUCCCUCUCCAGCAGGUGAAGUGUGUACCCAGCGGCUCUGCACCCACAGGAGGAGCAGCACCCUCUGCCCAUUAAGUUCUGAGUGGCUGGAGAGGAUGCAUGAGGGCGGUGACGACUUGUUGACGGGACCGUGGGCUGGAAAUGUUUGCCUGGGAAGAGAGAAUUGAAUAAAAGGGAAAAGCGCCUUCUAUCCUGGCCAGUGACGUGGCCACUUCUGGUUCUCUCCAGUCCUGGGUGUAGAACCUUAUUUCCAGCAGGCAGCAUCUUCCCAUUGCUGGUGGACUGAUUUCUCAUUACUUCUUCUGCUGGUCUGCCGGCGAUGAAUUCUUUUACAAAGAAAACCAAAGAUCCUGGAAGAGUUUCUCUCAUUGCUGACUCCAAAGAUUUCUUAUUUGGAUAAUAGCUGGAUAAACACAAUCACUCUAUGAAUUCCAGCUACAGCUGAGAAAAAUACUCCUUGGCGGUAGGACAAAUCAUUUUGCAAAUGCCUCGAGGACCUACUUGUAAGCAGAUCUGGCAUGGGAUCUAACUGCAGCAAGGAAUCCCAGGAAAAGGAAGAGGGACUAAUGAAGCAAAUAACCAAAAAGAAGAGCUGAGUAGCUGAGUAGCUGAGUGAGGCCUGGAAUGACACAGCAGAUUUUGAGGAGCCAGCAGCUCACCAUCUUGUCUGUGAAUAAUGCUGUGGAUUCACACUUUCCCUUCACCUCUGCUUUCUUCUUGAGCCCAGCAACACCAUAAAUUACACUUGACUUUCAAGUUCUAGUUGAAAUAGUCACACAAUUUGUUUCUUCAGCUCAUCCUUCCCCUAAGUCAUUGCUUUGGCAUUGUGGAGUCAAAUGAAGCCUCACAAAGGAUUGAAAACAUGAAGAUUUUUGUAGUGCUGUGGUGCAUUGAAAUGGUUUUUAAUACAAUGAGAGAAUCUAUGCCUCAAUUUAUAAUUUUUAUGUUUUUAAUUCACGCUCUUCCUGGGACUAUUUGAA